GACGAACGCUGGCGGCGUGCCUAAUACAUGCAAGUAGAACGCUGAAGAGAGGAGCUUGCUCUUCUUGGAUGAGUUGCGAACGGGUGAGUAACGCGUAGGUAACCUGCCUUGUAGCGGGGGAUAACUAUUGGAAACGAUAGCUAAUACCGCAUAACAAUGGAUGACACAUGUCAUUUAUUUGAAAGGGGCAAUUGCUCCACUACAAGAUGGACCUGCGUUGUAUUAGCUAGUAGGUGAGGUAAUGGCUCACCUAGGCGACGAUACAUAGCCGACCUGAGAGGGUGAUCGGCCACACUGGGACUGAGACACGGCCCAGACUCCUACGGGAGGCAGCAGUAGGGAAUCUUCGGCAAUGGGGGCAACCCUGACCGAGCAACGCCGCGUGAGUGAAGAAGAUUUUCGGAUCGUAAAGCUCGGUUGUAAGUCAAGAACGGGUGUGAGAGUGGAAAGUUCACACUGUGACGGUAGCUGACCAGAAAGGGACGGCUAACUACGUG
rnacentral:rRNA from 1 species